UGGGGAAUAUUGCACAAUGGGGGAAACCCUGAUGCAGCGACGCCGCGUGAGCGAUGAAGUAUUUCGGUAUGUAAAGCUCUAUCAGCAGGGAAGAAAAUGACGGUACCUGACUAAGAAGCCCCGGCUAACUACGUGCCAGCAGCCGCGGUAAUACGUAGGGGGCAAGCGUUAUCCGGAUUUACUGGGUGUAAAGGGAGCGUAGACGGCGGUGCAAGCCAGAUGUGAAAGCCCGGGGCUCAACCCCGGGACUGCAUUUGGAACUGUAGUGCUGGAGUGUCGGAGAGGCAGGCGGAAUUCCUAGUGUAGCGGUGAAAUGCGUAGAUAUUAGGAGGAACACCAGUGGCGAAGGCGGCCUGCUGGACGAUGACUGACGUUGAGGCUCGAAAGCGUGGGGAGCAAACAGG
rnacentral:rRNA from 1 species